GACGAACGCUGGCGGCGUGCUUAACACAUGCAAGUCGAACGGAAAGGCCCUGCUUUUGUGGGGUGCUCGAGUGGCGAACGGGUGAGUAACACGUGAGUAACCUGCCCUUGACUUUGGGAUAACUUCAGGAAACUGGGGCUAAUACCGGAUAGGAGCUCCUGCUGCAUGGUGGGGGUUGGAAAGUUUCGGCGGUUGGGGAUGGACUCGCGGCUUAUCAGCUUGUUGGUGGGGUAGUGGCUUACCAAGGCUUUGACGGGUAGCCGGCCUGAGAGGGUGACCGGCCCCAUUGGGGAUGGGGUCCCGCCCAGCCCCCCACGGGGGGCAGCCGGGGGGAAUAUUGGAACAUGGGGGGAAGGCUGGGUCAGCAACCCCGGGGGGGGGAUGAACGCCUUGGGGGUGUAAACCGCUUUCGCCUGGUACGAAGGGGGGGGGACGGUAAUGGGUAAAGAAGCCCCGGCUAACUACG
rnacentral:rRNA from 1 species